rnacentral:rRNA from 1 species
UGACGGGCCGCACAAGCGGUGGAGCAUGUGGUUUAAUUCGACGCAACGCGAGAACCUUACCAGGGCUUGACAUCCCCUGACCGCGUAUGAAAGUACGUUUUCACCUUCGGGAGACAGGGAGGACAGGUGGUGCAUGGUUGUCGUCAGCUCGUGUCGUGAGAUGUUGGGUUAAGUCCCGCAACGAGCGCAACCCCUACGUUUAGUUGCUAACGCGUGAAGGCGAGCACUCUAGACGAACUGCCGUUGACAAAACGGAGGAAGGUGGGAUGACGUCAAAUCAUCAUGCCCCUUAUGUUCUGGGCUACACACGUGCUACAAUGGCCGGUACAGACGGACGCAAAGCCGCGAGGUGGAGCAAAUCCUAAAAAGCCGGUCUCAGUUCGGAUUGCAGGCUGCAAUUCGCCUGCAUGAAGUCGGAAUCGCUAGUAAUCGCAGGUCAGCAUACUGCGGUGAAUACGUUCCCGGGCCUU